UGCUUCCAAUAUGGCUCCCGUGUGCUCUUGGUUCCCUGCUUUAUGGUUGAUUGUGUGAGACUACAGCUCAAUUUUAGAGUGUUAGAACUGAUCUGAUGGUGAGAAGCUAGUUUACUGCUCACUUACACAGAUUAUCUCAGUCUCUCUGGGAGAAAUGUGUUUUCUCUUGGUUUGUUUAGUUGGGUUAACUAUUUGUCUUCUUUUCUUUUUUAUGCUCUGUUGACUUUGUUGGCCAACUUUGGCUGUGUGUUUGGUUGGGGAACCAGGACGGCACUGGAGUCUCAUUUUACGUUGUGGUGCGACCUAGACCAGCUGCAAGGCCAUAAGUGAGGUCAGGAUGUUGAAUAAUCACCACCCUACUUCAUCCCCAACUCCCUAACUCAUCCCAGAGCUGUUGGUUGGAGCUUCAUCUUU